rnacentral:rRNA from 1 species
AUGCUAAAGGCUGGGUUGAUCACCCCAAGUGUUAGCCCGUUCUCCUCUCCUGUGCUUCUGGUGAAAAAGAAGGACCUGACAUGGAGAUUUUGUGUGGAUUUCCAUCACUUAAAUGCAAUCACGGUCAAGAACACAUAUCCUCUACCUAUCAUAGACAAGCUGCUCGACGAACUGGCAGGUUCCAAGUGGUUUUCCAAGCUGGACCUUCGUGCGGGGUACCGCCAAAACAGGCUGCGACCGGAGGACGAAGAGAAAACAGCCUUCAAGACUCAUCAAGGUCACUUCCAGUUUUGA